CACGUAGGGCGCAAGCGUUGUCCGGAAUUAUUGGGCGUAAAGAGCUCGUAGGUGGUUUGUUACGUCUGCUGUGAAAACCUAGGGCUUAACCCUGGGCUUGCAGUGGAUACGGGCAGACUAGAGGUAGGUAGGGGAGAAUGGAAUUCCUGGUGUAGCGGUGAAAUGCGCAGAUAUCAGGAGGAACACCGGUGGCGAAGGUGGUUCUCUGGGCCUUACCUGACACUGAGGAGCGAAAGCGUGGGGAGCGAACAGG
rnacentral:rRNA from 1 species